rnacentral:rRNA from 1 species
GGCGGCGUGCUUAACACAUGCAAGUCGAACGAAGAGCGAUGGAAGCUUGCUUCUAUCAAUCUUAGUGGCGAACGGGUGAGUAACGCGUAAUCAACCUGCCCUUCAGAGGGGGACAACAGUUGGAAACGACUGCUAAUACCGCAUACGAUCUAAUCUCGGCAUCGAGGAUAGAUGAAAGGUGGCCUCUACAUGUAAGCUAUCACUGAAGGAGGGGAUUGCGUCUGAUUAGCUAGUUGGAGGGGUAACGGCCCUCCAAGGCGAUGAUCAGUAGCCGGUCUGAGAGGAUGAACGGCCACAUUGGGACUGAGACACGGCCCAGACUCCUACGGGAGGCAGCAGUGGGGAAUCUUCCGCAAUGGACGAAAGUCUGACGGAGCAACGCCGCGUGAGUGAUGACGGCCUUCGGGUUGUAAAGCUCUGUUAAUCGGGACGAAAGGCUUUCUUGCGAAUAGUUAGAAGGAAUG